rnacentral:tRNA from 1 species
GCUUCACUAGCUCAGUUGGCAGAGCGUCAGUCUCAUAAAUUUGGCGGUAACGUCAGUCUUGUGAAAUCUGAAGGUCGACAGUUCGAGCCUGCCGUGGAGCA